CUCAAAAUCCCUUUAAGAGUGAAGAUUUUCCUUUGGUUUUUUAACAGAGGAGUCAUCCUUACUAAAGAUAAUCUGACUCGACGAAACUGGCAUGGUUCCAAGACAUGUAUCUUUUGCCAACAUGACGAGUCUAUUAAACAUUUAUUUUUUGAGUGUAGGUUCGCUUGGGCAGUUUGGGCCAUAGUUCAAGUAGUUUCGAAUCUAUACCCACUACGUAGUGUACGGAACAUGUUCGGCAACUGGUUGCGGGGUGGGUAUUGA
rnacentral:rRNA from 1 species